GCGUGUGAGUGGUGAUUGGAUGGAAUGGCUUUGCAGGCUCCUUGCUUGUGCAUCGAAUUGGAAGCUCUUCGUCCUCUUCACAGUCAUCCCCAAGCAUGUCUCAUGUUUUGAGGGUGCGUUCGAUAUCCUGUGUUUGCUACCAAUACAAAGGUAUUCGGUGAUUUUCGUUGCUACAUUCGCUCGGUGCCUGGUAUGGUGUUGGGUGGACAAUAGGUUGGCCCCAUGCUCCUAGUAUGCCUUGCAACAUUGUUUGGCUGCGAAGGUGCACGGGGUUAUGCCUGUUCUUUUGGAUGCUGAUCGCUAUGUGUGUUGACGAGGGGUCUUGCCCCAUCUCGUUUGCUCUACGCACUUGUCCCUUAACACGAACGACCACCACACCUUUUUUGGCUCAAGAGCAUUAGUUCUUUGAGGCUCCAUGAAGGUGUCGGUGUCGUGAAGGAAUGC
rnacentral:misc_RNA from 1 species